rnacentral:tRNA from 1 species
AAUAUAAUGGGUAUCUAAGAGGACUUAAAAUCUCUCGGCCCGAAAGGCUGUGCGGGUUCGAUCCCCGCCGUCCGCACCA